AUCACUUUACACCUGCCCAAACAAAACUAAAGCAUUUCUUCAAGUCUCUGUCUCAGAGAGAGAGAGAGAGAGAGAGAGUGUGUGUGUGUGUGUGUGUUUUAUUGAUGGAGGGGUCCUGGGGAGGCAUGUUAGUGUCUAUGAUUUGUGGUGUUACGAGAGGACAUUGAGGCCAAUCCAAAUGCCGGGAAGAUUCUAUUUCUGCAGCUCUCUUCAAUUCUCUCUCUCUCUCUCUCUCUCUCUCUCUCUCUCACACACACACACACACACACACUUGAAGACUGAUAUAUAUACAGCAAAUUACCUAUUCUCUCCCAAGACGGGAAAAGACAGGAAAGCUCUCCUAUUCUAUGCAAUAAGAAAGAUGAAAUCCUCGCGUGUCCUAUUCCUCUGCCUCCUUGCAAUUGCUUUGCUUUGUGUUUCCGAAUGCGUCGGGUCUUCUUUCAAGCAAGGAAGGCGGCUCGCAAGAGAACCAAAGGUGUUGGUUGGAGAACACAAUGAACUCCACAAAAUCCAGGUUAGAAACAUGAGAAUUAAGCAAGGUAGACCAACCACGGUUGACGUUUCUAGACGUGAAGAGGGUUUAGAGGAGGAGCUGGUCUACCACAUUGAUUACCAUGGAGUGAUGACUCAUCCGACUCCAACACCGAAGCAUCCCACACCAUAGAAACACUAUUAGCAAAGGGAUAUAUAGAUAAGAUCGACUCCUGGUUUAAUUUCCGCACUUUUUUUUGCUCGUCAACUUGAGUUCGUCUACUUUUUUCACUUUAUCCUACUAGAGCAACAGUAGUCGUGAUAAUGUAAACAGUUCUACUUGUGUUAGUGGGGAACAUAGGUCAUGCUAAAUGUACCCAAGUGGUCAAAACUCAAAAGUACCUGAAAAUACAUAUAGAAUGAAGUAGAGGUUAAUGGCCACCGGUGCACCAAUAUUUGUCAAUUGCAAUGCAACGAAAGCAUCCCACUCGUAUAUUGUUUCCGGACCUUUCUGUACUUCCCAAGCAAUAUCUUGUAGCACUUUUCCACAUCCUCAAAAGCUGCUUCAUUGCAGAACUUGCACUUGACUUCCAUGAAUGCAGCUUCUGCCUCAUCUUUAUGGUCAUGGCAAAAUAGAAUAAGGUGUUGAAGUUGUUCAA